UACGAAGGGGGCUAGCGUUGUUCGGAAUUACUGGGCGUAAAGGGCGCGUAGGCGGCCCCGCUAAGUCGAACGUGAAAUCCCCGAGCUCAACUCGGGAACUGCGUCCGAUACUGGUGGGCUUGAAUCCGGGAGAGGGAUGCGGAAUUCCUGGUGUAGCGGUGGAAUGCGCAGAUAUCAGGAGGAACACCGAUGGCGAAGGCAGAUCUCUGGGCCGUAACUGACGCUGAGGAGCGAAAGCAUGGGGAGCGAACAGG
rnacentral:rRNA from 1 species